GUAUUUACUUGAAAUAAAAUAAUCAUGAUAUUUGUACUUAUAAAGUACUCAAACAACUUUUUAUUUGUACAUGCAAGGAGAAAAAAUUAUGGCUAUAAUUUCGAAAAUUAUUUAUCCUCUGACAAUAUUUAUUUCUUUACUUCUUAUUGAAACCAUAAGGCGGUUGCAGUGCAAACAUGACAGUGAUUGUCAAAAAGAUAUGUGUCGCUCUCCUGAAAUUGCAAAGUGCGUUUAUUUUGUUUGUGAGUGCGUGUAAGCAAAAGUGUAACCAUUAAUAUGAAAAAUUAUUAUAUCUUUCUUAUAAGUGUAUAAUGUAUUUGAACGUCUCACUUUAUUUAAAAUAAAAAUGAAAAACAAAUUGAGUGUAAAAGCAUCGUGUGAAAAGAAUGACAUUUCAAAUAGAUUAAAAUUCCAUCCA